UCAUCUCUUUUUUGUGGCAUGUUUUUGCGCAACUGACCACCUAUUGAGAAAAUGUUUAUUCUGCUGCUUUUGUUCAGCAUGAUGUUGCAAAUCAAAAUGCGCAACGCAUACAGAGAAAAGGCUUAAUCGGUCCGGUA
ensembl:ncRNA T21B6.10 ncRNA